AGAAUCAACGCUGGCGGCGUGCCUCAGACAUGCAAGUCGAACGCGAAAGUCCCCUUCGGGGGGGCAAGUAGAGUGGCGCACGGGUGAGUAACACGUAGGUAAUCUACCUUUGGAUGGGGGAAUAACAAUCGGGAAACGAUUGCUAAUACCGCAUAAUGCAGCGGCACCUAAUGGUGACAGUUAGUUAAAGCGGGGGGAUCGAAAGACCUCGCGUACUAAAGGAGGAGCCUGGCGGCGGAUUAGCUAGUUGGUAGGGUAAUGGCUUACCGAGGCUACGA
rnacentral:rRNA from 1 species